UGUUGAUAUGCAGAGUCACUAAAUGCCAGAC
rnacentral:piRNA from 1 species